AAAUGGGCCCAACCCGAUUCCAAUCCGGGUCAGGCCCAUUUCCUUAUUAUUUAAGGGAGUUUUCAGCCCCCUCCUCCACAUUUCAGAUCAGAAAAUUCCAUUAGAGAGAGAGAGAAAACUUCAAGGCUAAGAAGGUCAUUUUGAUCAAAAUCCGAGCUCCGAAUCCCGAAGCUCAUGAAGAGAAAAACGUUGUACGUUGCAUUGCCUUCAAUUUGAGAUAAAUAUUGGUCUUGGGGGAUGAAAUUUUCGUGGUGGAUCUUCUGAUAAGAUUUUGGAUGAAAUUGAAGUCGACGCCAAGCGAGCGUAAGGCGCUAUCGAGGUACAGGCGCACUCGGUGACACGCCGCCAGUCUAGGGCACAGGUUCUGCUAUCUUGAAGAGCUCCUUUUGAUUCGGAGCAUGUACUUUGGUAUAUAUAUCUUCUGUUUUCCGUAUGUUCUGUAUGUAUGGAAGUUCUGGGUACGGCGGGGCCCUGUCCCGUCAUACGAUUCUGUAUGUCUGUAGAGGCCUGUAGAUAGAUGUGUGGGUUACGGGUUUCGUCUGUAUAUUAGCCUUAUCGGCUUAUCUGUAAAUGUCUGCAUGUUUAGGUAUAUAUAUAUAUGUUUGCGCGCGUGCCGUAUCUGUAUCGGCUUACUUCUCUAAUAUCCGUUUGAAAAAAAAAAAUCUGUACGAAACGAAAUUCGGUCAGGUAGGUAUGUACGGGUACCCAGCUAGGGUGCCAGUCGCGGCCCACGGGGUUGGGUCGUGACACUAGGUUUGAACGACAAAAGUCAAAUUAAUUCUGAUAUCUUAUAACUUUGUGUUC